CCUACGGGAGGCAGCAGUAGGGAAUCUUCCGCAAUGGACGAAAGUCUGACGGAGCAAUGCCGCGUGAGUGAAGAAGGUUUUCGGAUCGUAAAACUCUGUUGUUAGAGAAGAACAAGGAUGAGAGUAACUGCUCAUCCCCUGACGGUAUCUAACCAGAAAGCCACGGCUAACUACGUGCCAGCAGCCGCGGUAAUA
rnacentral:rRNA from 1 species